GGCACUGAACCAAAUUCAUACAUUUCUUUUUUCUUUUCUACAGUUAUUUCUUUUUUUCAUUUUCUUUGUUUUUUACAUCUGCUUCAUCUAUUUUUUUGAUGAGUUUAGAAAAAAAUUGUUGAUAUCCAUUUCAGCCUUCUCCCUUUGUACUGAAAAUCUAAAAAACACACUUCAGCUAACAGUCUAUGGAAAACGCCUUCAACGCCAUUUAAACUCUUUCACCAAACCCACCAGAUCCACUAGAUUUAAGAUCUGCAAUGGUUGCAUCAAGAGCUCUGUGACAACUUUAUUUUAAUCUGAUUUUUCAUAUUCAUUAUUUAUUGAAAUCGGUGCCGUUUCAUUGCUCUCUACUUAUUUUUGAAGGUUUUUUUCUCACCACAUGAAUAAAGGUCUUGAAGAAGAAGGAGAAUUAGAGAAAAGAAAAAGAAGAUUCAUGUAGAAGAAGAAGCAGUCAGAAGAACUAAAGAUAAAAAAAGAUUCAUGAAGAAAAAGAAGCCGACAACAAUGGUUAACCGGAUGAGUUAUUCUGGGUUUUUAACAUUAGUCUGGCCAAAAUAAUGGAUGCCACAUUUUUUAUCAAUUAUAUUAUUUAGUUAUGUUAUUUGUUAUCCCAACAUCAAUCACCAUUACUGUUAAAGACUAAAGUUAACUUAUAAUGUUUCAUGAUUAAGUUUGGCGUGUGUCAUGUCUACUAGUGGUUACAAAUUGUGAUAUCUGGAUUAUAAAAGUAUAUCUGGUUAGGUGAUGA